UGGGGAAUAUUGGACAAUGGGGGCAACCCUGAUCCAGCCAUGCCGCGUGGGUGAAGAAGGCCUUCGGGUUGUAAAGCCCUUUUGUACGGGAAGAAAAGCGUGCGGGUAAUAUCCGUACGUCAUGACGGUACCGUAAGAAUAAGCACCGGCUAACUUCGUGCCAGCAGCCGCGGUAAUACGAAGGGUGCAAGCGUUACUCGGAAUUACUGGGCGUAAAGCGUGCGUAGGCGGUGAGUUAAGUCUGAUGUGAAAUCCCCGGGCUCAACCUGGGAAUGGCAUUGGAUACUGGCUCGCUAGAGUACGGUAGAGGGUGGUGGAAUUCCCGGUGUAGCAGUGAAAUGCGUAGAGAUCGGGAGGAACAUCGGUGGCGAAGGCGGCCACCUGGACCAGUACUGACGCUGAGGCACGAAAGCGUGGGGAGCAAACAG
rnacentral:rRNA from 1 species